UUUCUUGGUUCAAGGUAUUUAGGAAACUUUGAAUCUGACAAGGUUCAUUUUUUUUCUGCUGCACUUCUGAGAGCCUUUACUUAAGUCACCUGAACUGUGACAGCAUAAAAGAAGCUUAUCCCAUGUAGCAUUUCCCAGCUCUCCUGAACCAUGGGCCUUUUCGGAAGGAGCAUCGUGUAGGAUUGGUGGUCCGGGGGUUCCAGUGUCUGUGUGCCCUCCCAGCCAAGGUGUGCCCGCAGGAGAAACUGGACCUUCAAAUCAGCCACUCGUGUCUCUGCUUUGGGUUUUGUCAGCAGUAACAGCAGACCCAGUGUGUUUGGGACUCCUGGAGCCAAGUGCUCGUGCAUCCCUGUGAUGUGGUUUUGGAAUAUAGGGCAUCAACAGAAAUGGAAGCUCACAUCUCUGACUACAGACUUAGCCCGUGGUGGGAGCCAGCCUGCUUUCUCCGCUGCAGCGGGACGGAGCUGGGAUGAGCCCUUGGGCUGUGACUGCAGAAGCCUGGAAAGCCCUCUGAUCUGCCCUGACACUGGCUGAAAUUCUGCCUUGGUGAGAAUGAGGGGGGUCGUGUUGAUGGAAAAAGAAUCCUUGGGGAGGGGCUCCCCCUGACUAAGCCCAGGACAAUUUCAGUAGCAGAAAACAGCGACUACAAGCAAUGAAGAUGCCUCUUACCCAUGAUCCUCAAGGGAGAACAAAAAGAUGUAAAGAAAGACCACAGAAUGGGAGAACAUUUCUGCAAAUCAUAUAUCUGAUAUGGGACUUGCACCUAAGAUAUUAAAAGAAUGCUUACAACCCGGUAAUACAAAGACAACCCAUUUAAAGAAUACGCAAAGGACUGAAGAGAGAUUUCUCCAAAGAAGAUACACAAACGGCCCACAAGCUCAUGAAAAGGUGCUCAACAUUAUCCGCCAUGAGGGAAAUGCCAAGGCCACACUGCUUCCCACUCCACAGAAGGGCAGCAAAUGGAGCACCAGGUGUCCGUAAGGAUCUAGAGGAACAAGCCCCCUCACUGAGUGGAGCAACAGCCCUGGAGACAGCCUGGCAGUUCUUCCAAUGACUAAACACAGAGCUGCCACAUGACUCAGCAGUCCCACUCCCGGAUCCACACCCAAGAGAACUGAAAACAUAUGUUCACACAGCCCUUAUAUCCAAAUGCUCAUAGCAGCAUUGUAAAUAACAGCCAAAAAGUGAAAACAACCCAAAUGUUGGAUCAACUGACGAAUAGAUAAGUAGAAUGUGGAAUAACCAUACAGUGGAAUAUUAUUCAGCAAUAAAAAGAAACGAAGUCUUGGCACAUGCUACCACAUGGAUGCAUCCUGCAAGCACCACGCUAUGGACACGCCAGGCACACGGGACCACAUGCAGUAUGAUCCCACUCAUACGAAAUGUCCAGAGUGGGCACAUCCAGUGAGACAGUAAAUACAUGGGUGUCUGUGAGGAACGGGGCAUGGGUACACAGUCUCCCGCCAGGUGAUGAAAACGCUUCAACAUGGGUUGUGGUGAUGGUUGGUACAGCUCUGAGAAUGUGCUAAAAACCAUCAAAUUGUACACUUUAAAGGGGGAAAUUGCAUGAUGCGUGAAUAGUAUCCCAGUAGAGUUAUUUUUAAAAACUUAACAGUAAAAAACAAACAAACAAACAAAAAACCCCACAACUUUAAAAAAUGCACAGGAAAUAAAAAAAGCAAACAACAUAAAAAC